UACGUAGGGACCAAGCGUUGUUCGGAUUUACUGGGCGUAAAGGGCGCGUAGGCGGCAUGACAAGUCACUUGUGAAAUCUCUGGGCUUAACCCAGAACGGCCAAGUGAUACUGUCGCGCUAGAGUGCAGAAGGGGCAAUCGGAAUUCUCGGUGUAGCGGUGAAAUGCGUAGAUAUCGGGAGGAACACCAGUGGCGAAGGCGGUUGCCUGGAGCUUUGCUGACGCUGAGGCGCGAAAGCGUGGGGAGCGAUCCGG
rnacentral:rRNA from 1 species